rnacentral:rRNA from 1 species
UGGGGAAUAUUGGACAAUGGGGGGAACCCUGAUCCAGCCAUGCCGCGUGUGUGAAGAAGGCCUUAUGGUUGUAAAGCACUUUAAGCGAGGAGGAGGGUACUGGUAUUAAUACUACCAGGUACUGGACGUUACUCGCAGAAUAAGCACCGGCUAACUCUGUGCCAGCAGCCGCGGUAAUACAGAGGGUGCGCGCGUUAAUCGGAUUUACUGGGCGUAAAGCGUGCGUAGGCGGCUAAUUGAGUCGGAUGUGAAAUCCCCGAGCUUAACUUGGGAAUUGCAGUCGAUACUGGUUAGCUAGAGUGUGGGAGAGGAUGGUAGAAUUCCAGGUGUAGCGGUGAAAUGCGUAGAGAUCUGGAGGAAUACCGAUGGCGAAGGCAGCCAUCUGGCCUAACACUGACGCUGAGGUACGAAAGCAUGGGGAGCAAACAGG